CCUACGGGUGGCUGCAGUAGGGAAUUUUCGUCAAUGGGCGCAAGCCUGAACGAGCAAUGCCGCGUGAACGAGGAAGGUCUUCGGAUCGUAAAGUUCUGUUGAAGGGGAAAAAGAGCGGAGAGAGGAAAUGGUCUCCGAUUGAUAUUACCCUUCGAGGAAGUCACGGCUAACUACGUGCCAGCAGCCGCGGUAAUACGUAGGUGGCGAGCGUUAUCCGGAAUGAUUGGGCGUAAAGGGUGCGUAGGCGGCCUGCUAAGUCUGGAGUGAAAGGUACCGGCUCAACCGGUACAGGCUCUGGAGACUGGCGGGCGAGAGAGCAGGAGAGGGCGGUGGAACUCAAUGUGUAGCGGGAAAAUGCGUAGAUAUAUGGAAGAACACCAGUGGCGAAGGCGGCCGCGUGGCCUGUUACUGACGCUGAGGCACGAAAGCGUGGGGAGCAAAUAGGAUUAGAUACCCGGGUAGUC
rnacentral:rRNA from 1 species